GCAAUUCAAGAGAAAUUAAAUUCCAUUCAGGAGAAACUCACAAAGCUACAGGAACAGAUGGAUCAAAAAGACAGUGUGAUAUUUCUAAUGGAGGAAAUUAGUCGGAAGAGGAGGAUUAGUGAUGAGGAACACACGUUGUCAGUAGCAGGUGGGGCACCGGAAGUUGCAAAAUUCGAUCACCCCUUUUUAUUGAACAGAGUGUUCAGCAAAAUGUCGUGUGGUAUUCCGCAAGGUAAUGUUGAUAUCAUUUAUUUGUUCUGAUACAUUAGAGAUUGUUAGGUGUUAGUUGGAUACAAAGAGUGAUAUGAAUAAUGGACACUUUAAUUAAAACAUGCAUGCC